CAUCGCCGCUGGAGGCAACUUUGUGGUUAAACGUUCGAAAAUGGUUUAAUCCCUGAAGAUUGUAGUGGUGUUACGGAGAUAGACUCAGGCACCGAGUUUGUGGAACCAUCAUGCUCUAUGCCUGGUGAGCAAGAGGGCAGCCAAUGACAAAAAGGACAAGAUAAAACUACCGAACACCAACACCAGAACUAUCUUCCCGGGC